rnacentral:rRNA from 1 species
CACGUAGGGGGCAAGCGUUGUCCGGAUUUAUUGGGCGUAAAGAGCUCGUAGGUGGUUCGGUAAGUCGGGUGUUAAACCCCCAGGCUCAACCUGGGGACGCCACUCGAUACUGCUGUGACUAGAGUCCGGUAGGGGAGCGUGGAAUUCCUGGUGUAGCGGUGAAAUGCGCAGAUAUCAGGAGGAACACCAGCGGCGAAGGCGGCGCUCUGGGCCGAUACUGACGCUGAGGAGCGAAAGCGUGGGGAGCGAACAGG